rnacentral:rRNA from 1 species
ACUGCUCAGUAACACGUGGAUAACCUGCCCUAAGGAAGGGGAUAACCUCGGGAAACUGAGGAUAAUACCCUAUAGGUUACAGACGCUGGAAUGCCCUGUAACCGAAAGUUCCGGCGCCUUAGGAUGGAUCUGCGGCCGAUUAGGUUGUUGUUGGGGUAACGGCCCAACAAGCCGAUAAUCGGUACGGGUUGUGGGAGCAAGAGCCCGGAGUUGGAUUCUGAGACAUGAAUCCAGGCCCUACGGGGCGCAGCAGGCGCGAAAACUUUACAAUGCGGGAAACCGUGAUAAGGGAACCCCGAGUGCCUGUAUAUGCAGGCUGUCCAGGUGUCUAAAAAACACCUGAAGAAAGGGCCGGGCAAGACCGGUGCCAGCCGCCGCGGUAAUACCGGCGGCUCGAGUGGUGGCCACUUUUAUUGGGCUUAAAGCGUUCGUAGCUGGGUUGUUAAGUCUCUUGGGAAAUCUGACGGCUCAACCGUCAGGCGUCCAAGGGAUACUGGCAAUCUUGGAACCGGGAGAGGUGAGGGGUACUUCGGGGGUAGGAGUGAAAUCCUGUAAUCCUCGAGGGACCACCUGUGGCGAAGGCGCCUCACCAGAACGGCUUCGACAGUGAGGGACGAAAGCUGGGGGAGCAAACCGGAUUAGAUACCCGGGUAGUCCCAGCCGUAAACGAUGCGCGUUAGGUGUAUCGGUGACCACGAGUCACCGAGGUGCCGAAGGGAAACCGUGAAACGUGCCGCCUGGGAAGUAUGGUCGCAAGGCUGAAACUUAAAGGAAUUGGCGGGGGAGCAC